rnacentral:rRNA from 1 species
UUAGUACCGAAGUCCGGGAUGGAAGAUGGCGAGAAAAGCUGUGUGUAUUUCUGCGGUGCCCGUACCGCAAACCGACACAGGUAGGUAGGAAGAAGAUUCUAAGGCCAACGGGAGAAGGGUUGUUAAGGAACUCGGCAAAUUGACCCCGUAACUUCGGGAGAAGGGGUGCUGCAGCAAUGCAGCCGCAGAGAAUCGGCCCAAGCAACUGUUUACCAAAAACACAGGUUUGUGCUAAAUCGAAAGAUGACGUAUACGAGCUGACGCCUGCCCGGUGCUGGAAGGUUAAGAGGAGAUGUGCAAGCAUUGAAUCGAAGCCCCAGUGAACGGCGGCCGUAACUAUAACGGUCCUAAGGUAGCGAAAUUCCUUGUCAGGUAAGUUCUGACCCGCAUGAAAGGCGUAAUGAUUUGGGCACUGUCUCAACAGCCCGCCCGGCGAAAUUGUAGUACCGGUGAAGAUGCCGGUUACCCGCGACAAGACGGAAAGACCCCAUGGAGCUUUACUGUAGCCUAAUAUUGGGUUUCGAUGUUGCAUGCACAGGAUAGAUGGGACACAGGGAAACAAUCGCUUUGGCGGUUGCGGAGUGGCCGUUGGGAUACCAUCCUUGCGAUAUUGGAAUUCUAACCUGCGGCUCUGAAUCGAGUCGGGGGACAUUGUUAGGUGGGCAGUUUGACUGGGGCGGUCGCCUCCUAAAAAGUAACGGAGGCGUUCAAAGGUUCGCUCAGCUUGAACGGAAAUCAAGCAAAAGAGUGCAAACGCAGAAGCGAGCCUAACUGCGAGACUGACGGGUCGAGCAGUAACGAAAGUUGGAGUUAGUGAUCCGGUGGUAUGUGAGUGGAAAUGCCAUCGCUCAACGGAUAAAAGUUACCCUGGGGAUAACAGGCUGAUCUCCCCCAAGAGUCCACAUCGACGGGGAGGUUUGGCACCUCGAUGUCGGCUCAUCGCAUCCUGGGGCUGUAUUCGGUCCCAAGGGUUUGGCUGUUCGCCAAUUAAAGCGGUACGCGAGCUGGGUUCAGAACGUCGUGAGACAGUUCGGUCCCUAUCUGUCGUGGGCGCAGGAUAUUUGAUGGGAGCUGUUCCUAGUACGAGAGGACCGGAGCGGACGUACCUCUGGCGCACCAGUUGUUCUGCCAAGAGCAUAGCUGGGCAACUAUGUACGGAUCGGAUAAACGCUGAAAGCAUCUAAGCGUGAAGCCGACCCAAAGAUAAGAUAUCCCAUUGUUUCAAACAAGUAAGACCCCUUGAAGACUACAAGGUUGAUAGGCACGAUGUGUAAGUGGAGCGAUCCAUUCAGCAAGCGUGUACUAAUAGGUCGAGGGCUUGACCAC